rnacentral:rRNA from 1 species
GUAGGUGGCAAGCGUUGUCCGGAAUUAUUGGGCGUAAAGCGCGCGCAGGCGGUCCUUUAGGUCUGAUGUGAAAGCCCACGGCUCAACCGUGGAGGGUCAUUGGAAACUGGGGGGACUUGAGUACAGAAGAGGAAAGCGGAAUUCCAAGUGUAGCGGUGAAAUGCGUAGAGAUUUGGAGGAACACCAGUGGCGAAGGCGGCUUUCUGGUCUGUAACUGACGCUGAGGCGCGAAAGCGUGGGGAGCAAACAGGAUUAGAUACCCUGGUAGUCCACGCCGUAAACGAUGAGUGCUAAGUGUUAGGGGGUUUCCCGCCCCCCUUAGUGCUGCAGCUAACGCAUUAAGCACUCCGCCUGGGGAGUACGGCCGCAAGGCUG